CUCCUCUCAGGAUUGUACCUGGAGAGUUUCCAGUACUCUUCCAGCCUCAGAUACAAGAGGGGGAGUCAAGCAGAGGCAUACCCAUUCUACUUCUAGCUUGGACAGUGGCUUUUGAGUGGAAGGCAGUCUGUUCCAAGU